rnacentral:rRNA from 1 species
GAUGAACGCUAGCGGCAGGCCUAACACAUGCAAGUCGAGGGGCAUCGCGGUGCAGCAAUGCACUGGCGGCGACCGGCGUACGGGUGCGUAACGCGUAUGCAACCUGCCCCGCACCGGGGGAUAGCCCGCCGAAAGGCGGAUUAAUACCCCAUGGUCCCGGGGGCCCGCAUGGGCAUCCGGGUAAAGCCUUGGCGGUGCGGGAUGGGCAUGCGUGCCAUUAGCUGGCUGGUGGGGUAACGGCCCACCAGGGCAACGAUGGCUAGGGGGUCUGAGAGGAUGGUCCCCCACACUGGUACUGAGACACGGACCAGACUCCUACGGGAGGCAGCAGUGAGGAAUAUUGGUCAAUGGGCGGAAGCCUGAACCAGCCAUGCCGCGUGCGGGAUGAAGGCCCUACGGGUUGUAAACCGCUUUUCCCCGGGAAGAAUAACCCCGAUGAGUCGGGGGAUGCCGGUACCGGGGGAAUAAGGAUCGGCUAACUCCGUGCCAGCAGCCGCGGUAAACGUCUACUG